rnacentral:rRNA from 1 species
UACAGAGGUCUCAAGCGUUGUUCGGAUUCAUUGGGCGUAAAGGGUGCGUAGGCGGCGCGGUAAGUCGGGUGUGAAAUCUCGGAGCUUAACUCCGAAACUGCAUUCGAUACUGCCGUGCUUGAGGACUGGAGAGGAGACUGGAAUUUACGGUGUAGCGGUGAAAUGCGUAGAUAUCGUAAGGAAGACCAGUGGCGAAGGCGGGUCUCUGGACAGUUCCUGACACUGAGACACGAAGGCCAGGGGAGGCAAACAGG